GCGGGAGUGGUGAAAUGGCAGACACGCAGGUCUUAGAAGCCUGUGCUUCGGCGUGGGGGUUCGAGUCCCCCCUCCCGCA
rnacentral:tRNA from 1 species